CUUCUUUCUGUGUUUCUGUUCUCUCUGUCACAGCGGAACAUAAACCACGAACAUAAAGAAUAAAAAGUUGAAUCAACCGAUCGAGAAAUUGAAUUAUAAUUCAUCAAAUACAAGUUACUGACAUCAAUUGAGGUUUAAGAAGAUCAAGAUCAACACAGAAACCAUCAAAACAGCAGAAAAAAAGUUAGGGUAAAAUGAUUUUUCAAUAAUCGAUUUACCAUCAUCUUUAACAACUUCGAUUUGAAGAUUCAAAAAAAGAUUGAAAAAACCAAAAUGAGGAAGCCAUCGAAAGCAAAGUUGAAGAAUAAAGUGCAAGAAGAAAAGGAAUCACCAGAAGUUAAGAAAGGUAAAGCACCAAAAGCAAAGACGAAGAAGAAAACGCAAGAAGAGGAGGAAUCCUCAAAACUUCUAAAAGGUAAAACUGAUUGAUUUGCAUGCGUGCAUAGUUGACUGAACUAAGAAGAUGCAAAAUAAAAGAGUCUACAUGGUGGUAUGAAUCUUGACAGAAAAUGGUGCAUGAAAGCUAGAGGAGAACCGCCAACAACAGGAGGAGGAGCAACUGGACCAAGAAGUUACCCAAAGUUGAAGCCAUAGUCUAAUGUAGGUCUUAAACGUAUUAGCAUAUGUAUGGUAGUGGUAUUUAACAUCUUAUAAUGUAUGUCUGUUCAUGCUCCUUAAAAACAUUUUAAUGUAUAGGUCUGAAAAACAUUUUACUGUGUAAUGGGCUUAUACAUCUUAAUAUAGGUAUGAAGAAGUUCUAGAACUAAAUGACUUGA